UUCNGGGGUUUGAACUCAGAUCACGUCGCCUGUUUAACAAAAACAUUUCUCUCUGAUAUUARUACMUAGGAGAGUAGGGCCUGCCCGGUGAUAACAUAAACGGCUGCGGUAUCUUGACCGUACGAAGGUAGCAUAAUAAGUUGUCUUUUAAUUGGAGACUGGAAUGAAUGGCAGAAUGAGGGGGUAACUAUAUAGGUGUAGAGAUAGAAUUUGAUUAUUAAGUAAAAAGGCUUAGAUAAAACGAAGUGACAAGAAGACCCUAAGAGUUUUAUUUUUGUGGGAAGUAGUUUUUGGAGUUGUGGUGUUUCUAGUUGUUUUUCACAAAAGUUUAACUGGGGCGGUUGAAAUAAUUAACGAUUGAAUAAUAAUACUAAAAUGUGAGAAGUGUAAUACUUAGUAUAUCCUAGUUGGAAAUCAAGAGUAAUUACCUUAGGGAUAACAGCAUAAUCUUUUUUGAGAGACCGUAUUGACAAAAAGGUUUGUGACCUCGAUGUUGGAUUUAGAUAAUUAUAAGGAGCAGCAUUUUUAUAAAUUGGUUUGUUCAACCAUGUAAAUUCUAACGUGAUCUGAGUUCAACCCCGGAA
rnacentral:rRNA from 1 species